UCUUAUUUUUGUUUUCAUUUUUCCCGAGUCUUGUGAUACUAUGUAUGCUAGUCAUGAGGGUCUGAUUUAAGAGUUUGCUCGUGUCAGAUUGCAAAAGAACGUGAGGAUGAGCAGAUAGAUAGAGCAUUAUUGAAGAAUGUUCUUGAUAUCUUUGCUGAAAUUGGAAGGGAGGAUUAUGUGAAUGACUUUCGAGAUGCUUUGCUUAGAGAUACUGCAGCUUAUUAUUCUCGGAAAGCUUCAAUUUGGAUUGUGGAAGAUUCUUAUUCGGACUAUAUGUUGAAGGUGGAAGAGUGCUUGAAGAAAGAGAAGGAUAGAGUGUCUCAUUAUCUCCACGUUACUACCGAGAAAAAACUUCUGGAGAAAGUGAAACACGAAUUGUUGGUUGUGUAUACCAAUCAGUUACUUGAGAAGGAGCAUUCUGAAUCCCAUGCUUUGCUCAGAGAUGAUAAGG